GUCGAACGAGGUCCUUGCCUUCGGGUGAGGUCCUAGUGGCGAACGGGUGAGUAACACGUUGGUGACCUGCCCCGAAGAGGGGGACAACCCCGGGAAACUGGGGCUAAUACCCCAUGUGAUCCAGAGAGUUAGAGGUCUUUGGAUGAAAUGGAGCAAUCCGCUUCGGGAGGGGCCUGCGGCCUAUCAGCUAGUUGGUAGGGUAACGGCCUACCAAGGCGACGACGGGUAGGGGGCCUGAGAGGGUGAUCCCCCACACUGGAACUGAAACACGGACCAGACACCUACGGGUGGCAGCAGUAGGGAAUAUUGCCCAAUGGACGAAAGUCUGAGGCAGCAACGCCGCGUGCGCGAUGAAGGCCUUCGGGUCGUAAAGCGCUUUUCUGGGGGACGAGAUAGGACGGUACCCCAGGAAUAAGUCUCGGCUAACUACGUGCCAGCAGCCGCGGUAAAACGUAGGAGGCAAGCGUUAUCCGGAUUUACUGGGCGUAAAGCGCGUGCAGGCGGUCUGGUAAGUCGGACGUGAAAUCUCCUGGCUCAACUAGGAGAGGCCGUUCGAUACUGCCGGACUGGAGGGCAGCAGAGGGAGGUGGAAUUCCGGGUGUAGCGGUGAAAUGCGUAGAUAUCCGGAGGAACACCAGUGGCGAAAGCGGCCUCCUGGACUGUCCCUGACGCUAAGACGCGAAAGCUAGGGGAGUGAACGGGAUUAGAAACCCCGGUAAUCCUAGCUGUAAACGAUGCAGACUUGGUGUUGGUGGUCUAAACCCCAUCAGUGCCGUAGCAAACGCGAUAAGUCUGCCGCCUGGGGACUACGAUCGCAAGGUUAAAACUCAAAGGAAUUGACGGGGG
rnacentral:rRNA from 1 species